UACGGAGGGUGCGAGCGUUGUCCGGAAUCAUUGGGCGUAAAGGGCGCGUAGGCGGCCGAGCAAGGUCGCGGUGAAAGCCCGGGGCUCAACCCCGGGUCGGCCGUGGCAACUACUUGGCUCGAGCACUGUAGGGGCGGGUGGAAUCCUGGUGUAGCGGUGGAAGUGCGCAGAGUAUCAGGAGGAACACCGAUGGCGAAGGCAGGUCUCUGGGCCGAUUACUGACACUGAGAAGCGAAAGCGUGGGGAGCAAACAGG
rnacentral:rRNA from 1 species